rnacentral:rRNA from 1 species
CACGUAGGGUGCGAGCGUUGUCCGGAAUUAUUGGGCGUAAAGAGCUCGUAGGCGGUGUGUCGCGUCGGCCGUGAAAACCUGCAGCUUAACUGUGGGCUUGCGGUCGAUACGGGCAUCACUGGAGUUCGGCAGGGGAGACCGGAAUUCCUGGUGUAGCGGUGAAAUGCGCAGAUAUCAGGAGGAACACCGGUGGCGAAGGCGGGUCUCUGGGCCGAUACUGACGCUGAGGAGCGAAAGCGUGGGGAGCGAACAGG